GACGAACGCUGGCGGCGUGCUUAGUACAUGCAAGUCGAGCGCAGGAAGCCGACGGAACCCUUCGGGGGGAAGUCGACGGAAUGAGCGACGGACGGGUGAGUAACACGUAAAGAACCUGCCCUCAGGUCUGGGAUAACCACGAGAAAUCGGGGCUAAUACCGGAUGGGUCAUCGGACCGCAUGGUCCGAGGAUGAAAGGCGCUCCGGCGUCGCCUGGGGAUGGCUUUGCGGUGCAUUAGCUAGUUGGUGGGGUAAUGGCCCACCAAGGCGACGAUGCAUAGCAGACCGGGGAGGGUGAUCGGCCACACUGGGACUGAGACACGGCCCAGACUCCUACGGGAGGCAGCAGUAGGGAAUCUUCCACAAUGGACGAAAGUCUGAUGGAGCAACGCCGCGUGAACGAUGAAGGCCUUCGGGUCGUAAAGUUCUGUUGUAAGGGAAGAACAAGUGCCGCAGGCAAUGGCGGCACCUUGACGGUACCUUGCGAGAAAGCCACGGCUAACUACGUGCCAGCAGCCGCCGUAA
rnacentral:rRNA from 1 species